GACGAACCGUGCGAACGUUAUUCGGAAUCACUGGGCUUAAAGGGCGCGUAGGCGGUCCACCAAGUCGGGGGUGAAAUCCCGCGGCCCAACCGUGGAAGUGCCUUGGAUACUGGAGACCUCGAGGGGGAUAGGGGCGGGCGGAACUCCGGGUGGAGCGGUGAAAUGCGUAGAUAUCCUGAGGAACACCGGUGGCGAAAGCGGCGCGCUGGAUCCCUUCUGACGCUGAGGCGCGAAAGCCAGGGGAGCAAACGGG
rnacentral:rRNA from 1 species